GCUGUGGUGGUGUAAUGGUUAGCAUUUCUGCCUAGCAAGCAAGCAAGAAGGCCCGGGUUCGAGUCCCGGCCGCAGCA
rnacentral:tRNA from 1 species